rnacentral:rRNA from 1 species
UUCCCGUAAGGGGGCCUGCGGAGGGAUCAUUGCUGGAACGCGCCCCAGGCGCACCCAGAAACCCUUUGUGAACUUAUACCUUACUGUUGCCUCGGCGCAUGCCGGCCCCCCCGGGGGCCCCUCGGAGACGAGGAGCAGGCACGCCGGCGGCCAAGUUAACUCUUGUUUUUACACUGAAACUCUGAGAAAAAAACACAAAUGAAUCAAAACUUUCAACAACGGAUCUCUUGGUUCUGGCAUCGAUGAAGAACGCAGCGAAAUGCGAUAAGUAAUGUGAAUUGCAGAAUUCAGUGAAUCAUCGAAUCUUUGAACGCACAUUGCGCCCUCUGGUAUUCCGGAGGGCAUGCCUGUUCGAGCGUCAUUUCAACCCUCAAGCAUUGCUUGGUGUUGGGGCACUGCUUUUUACCCGAAAGCAGGCCCUGAAAUCUAGUGGCGAGCUCGCCAGGACCCCGAGCGCAGUAGUUAAACCCUCGCUCUGGAAGGCCCUGGCGGUGCCCUGCCGUUAAACCCCCAACUUUUGAAAAUUUGACCUCGGAUCAGGUAGGAAUACCCGCUGAACUUAAGCAUAUCAAA